rnacentral:misc_RNA from 1 species
UCUCCGUAGGUGAACCUGCGGAGGGAUCAUUACCAGAGAUGGCGGGCUCCGGCCCCCGUCCCCAACCCUUUGUUGACCAAAACCCUUUUGCCUCGGGGGCAGAGCGUCCGCUGCCGCCCCCGGAGGACCACCGAACGCUGUCUCUGUACGUCGGAGUAUUGAUUAAAUGAAUAAAAACUUUCAACAACGGAUCUCUCGGUUCUG